AGUUAGGAAAUGCAAGUUCGGUAAUAUCGAAUUUGUUUGACAAAAGCUCCAGAGGAAGCCACGGCUAACUCUGUGCCAGCAGCCGCGGUAAUACAGAGGUGGCAAGCGUUGUUCGGAAUUAUUGGGCGUAAAGAGCACGUAGGUGGUUUUGUAAGUCAGAUGUGAAAGCCUUCUGUUCAACGGGGGAAUUGCAUCUGAAACUGCAAAACUUGAGUGUAGGAGGGGAGAGUGGAACUUCUGGU
rnacentral:rRNA from 1 species